rnacentral:lncRNA from 1 species
UAUAAAUGUUUUUUCUCCACUCCUCAACCCCCUUCUCCCUUCUGGGAAAGAACUCCUGUGUUAAGAACGGUUUUCCUUCUGCCUGUGCUGGGUGCCUCGUACAGGAUUUUAUAGGCUAGUUUAUUUCUCUUGGCAGAGAAAGAAAAGUGUUGAUCCACCAUGAAGGGAAUGAAGAGGAAGAAUCCCAGAUGAAGAAUUUGGAGCCACUCCACAAGAUGAAUGUCAAUUUGUGAUUCUCGCUGCCUUGUGAAGUCAUUUGUUUCUAGUUGUUGGAUUCUAAUUUUUAAAGACUGGAUUUCAUCCUUCCCUUUUUGGUCAUCCUCCUUCUGGUCUGAUUUUUUUUAUAGGUCAUCUUUUACCUUCUUUGCCUUGUUUUCAAGCUGGUUAAUUUUGACUUUCAGGACACUAUUUUCAUGUUUUAGUUCAUGUGCCUCUGUUUCCAGAUGACUUAUUUUGCUUAUUAAGUUCUUUUCCC